rnacentral:rRNA from 1 species
AGGACGAACGCUGGCGGCAUGCCUAACACAUGCAAGUCGAACGGGACCUUCGGGUCUAGUGGCGCACGGGUGCGUAACGCGUGGGGAUCUGCCCUUAGGUACGGAAUAACUCAGGGAAACUUGAGCUAAUACCGUAUAAUGACUUCGGUCCAAAGAUUUAUCGCCUAGGGAUGAACCCGCGUAGGAUUAGCUUGUUGGUGAGGUAAAGGCUCACCAAGGCGACGAUCCUUAGCUGGUCUGAGAGGAUGAUCAGCCACACUGGGACUGAGACACGGCCCAGACUCCUACGGGAGGCAGCAGUCGGGAAUUUUGCGCAAUGGACGAAAGUCUGACGCAGCAACGCCGCGUGAGGGAUGAAGGCCUUCGGGUUGUAAACCUCUUUCAGGAGGGACGAAGCUACUCGGGUGAAUAGCCCAGAGGGUGACGGUACCUCCAGAAGAAGCCCGGCUAACUACGUGCCAGCAGCCGC